rnacentral:misc_RNA from 1 species
GAUGAAGAACGUAGCGAAAUGCGAUAAGUAAUGUGAAUUGCAGAAUUCAGUGAAUCAUCGAAUCUUGAACGCACAUUGCGCCCGCCAGUAUUCUGGCGGGCAUGCCUGUUCGAGCGUCAUUACAACCCUCAGGCCCCCGGGCCUGGCGUUGGGGAUCGGCGGAGCCCCCCGUGGGCACACGCCGUCCCCCAAAUGCAGUGGCGGUCCCGCCGCAGCUUCCAUCGCGUAGUAGCUAACACCUCGCGACUGGAGAGCGGCGCGGCCACGCCGUAAAACACCCAACUCUUCUGAAGUUGACCUCGAAUCAGGUAGGAAUACCCGCUGAACUUAAGCAUAUCAAUAAGCGGAGGA